rnacentral:rRNA from 1 species
GACGAACGCUGGCGGCGUGCUUAACACAUGCAAGUCGAGCGGAAAGGCCACUUCGGUGGUACUCGAGCGGCGAACGGGUGAGUAACACGUGAGUAAUCUGCCCUUGGCUUUGGGAUAGCCACCGGAAACGGUGAUUAAUACCGGAUACGACCACUUCUCGCAUGGGAUGGUGGUGGAAAGUUUUUUCGGCCAGAGAUGUGCUCGCGGCCUAUCAGCUUGAUGGUGAGGUAAUGGCUCACCAUGGCUUCGACGGGUAGCCGGCCUGAGAGGGUAACCGGUCACACUGGGACGGAGACACGGCCCAGACUCCUACGGGAGGCAGCAGUGGGGAAUAUUGGACAAUGGGCGGAAGCCUGAUCCAGCAACGCCGCGUGAGGGAUGACGGCCUUCGGGUUGUAAACCUCUUUCAGCAGGGACGAAGCGCAAGUGACGGUACCUGCAGAAGAAGCACCGGCCAACUACGUGCCAGCCGCCGCGGUAAGAC